UUGACCUGCUGAGGCAGCGCUCUCGUCCGUACCUCUUCUCCAACUCCCUACCCCCUCCUGUCGUGGGUUGUGCUACCCGGGCUGUCGAGCUGCUCCUCGCUUCCAAUGAGGUUGCUCAGAGUGUCGGGGACAAUACCAUGAGGUUCAGAAACAAAAUGACCGAGGCUGGGUUCACCAUCUCAGGCUCUGACCACCCUAUCUGUCCUGUGAUGCUGGGGGAUGCCAGACUAGCCUCUCUGAUGGCUGAUGACAUGCUGAAACUAGGAGUGUAUGUGAUUGUUCUCCUACCCAGUGGUACCAAAG